rnacentral:lncRNA from 1 species
CGGACUGCUGGGCAGCACUAGCACUCUGGAGAAGGUCUGCCGCUGUCUGCACUUUCCUGGUUCUAUGCAGGCAGAUGAGUGUCACAGCUGUAACUGAGGCACAGAGCAGUACACACAGUGGAGCCGAUUUCCGCGAUGGCGAGAGGGGGCACCGGAGGUGACAACAAUAACAAGACUGUCCUUCGGACAAGUUUUAGGUAAGAAAAUAUUUAUGCCCUGAUUCUUGUAUUUCUGCACUUUGUGUCUGCAACAUUGGGAUAGAAAGCAACUCUGGAUAGGGAAAUAUCUUUGUGAGGGUAUCAUCUGUGCUGUCACUUGCCUGCAAA